rnacentral:rRNA from 1 species
ACUCCUACGGGAGGCAGCAGUGGGGAAUAUUGCACAAUGGGGGAAACCCUGAUGCAGCCAUGCCGCGUGUGUGAAGAAGGCCUUCGGGUUGUAAAGCACUUUCAGUAGGGAGGAAGGUAGUGUAGUUAACACCUGCACUAUUUGACGUUACCUACAGAAGAAGCACCGGCUAACUCCGUGCCAGCAGCCGCGGUAAUACGGAGGGUGCGAGCGUUAAUCGGAAUUACUGGGCGUAAAGCGCAUGCAGGCGGCCUGUUAAGUCAGAUGUGAAAGCCCGGGGCUUAACCUCGGAAUUGCAUUUGAAACUGGCAGGCUAGAGUCUUGUAGAGGGGUAGAAUUUCAGGUGUAGCGGUGAAAUGCGUAGAGAUCUGAAGGAAUACCAGUGGCGAAGCGGCCCCUGGACAAAGACUGACGCUCAGAUGCGAAAGCGUGGGAGCAAACAGGAUUAGAUACCCCUGGUAGCACAGAG